rnacentral:lncRNA from 1 species
AGAUCUUUUCAGGUCUAGAUGCUAUGAACAUCAGACGCUAUUAUGACCCGAAAGCAUGAACAUGAAUCUUCAUUAGUUGAAUAAACUACGCUAACACGUAUAUCAGAAAUAACCGUUAGAGACCACGAGUUUAACCGAAGGAAAGGAAGCGUACCAAAGUAUGGAACAUUAAGAAAAUUGAAUGAUAUAUCAAUAGGUGUUCGACCAGUUAAGUCACAUUACAGAGUUGACGAUUCCACUAAGUCUAUAUUUUGAGCGAACUCACAAUUUAAAAUACAGCGCAACAGUUACGCUAUAUACAGUGGAUUGAAAUUGAUAAACUAUAACAAGAAAAUGUUCGGCUGCGAUUAAAUCCGUCUUCUCUGAAAAUGAACAACCAUAAUUAUGAUGUUUUCUGUUGAUUGCCACCACAAAUUUAAAUGCCAACUCUACUGUUUUCAAGUUUGCCUUAAUACAGUUGCUUGUGUCCAAGAUUACAUCUUUUUGGAUACCGUGCAACAUGGGUUUUGCCUUUCCGAAGUUGUUUGUGGUACUUCUUCUUUCUGUUUAAAAGCAUUCAAUUUUCCAAUCAGAAACUUUAAACGACAAAAUUAAGCACGUGAUAAAAUGAUGGGAACUACAUUCAUGUUUCAGCAGAUGUUACACUGUAACAUAGAUGAGUUAAACAUUUUUAUCUCAGUUUUACUCUCAUUGUACAUCGUCCAUUUGUUUUAGUGUUAGUGUCGAAUUAUUUAUUGUUUUGAUACACAGUAGUAUGACUUAUAAGAUAUUCAAAGACGACGAUCGAUUUAUGUCAGAAACAUAAUAUGAACUAUGCCGCAUGUCCGUAAAGGGGUAUUUACAUGUAUCUUAUCACCAACACUCAAUAGCCUUGUAUUAUGAUCAUGUUAUAUCGAAACAAGAUUGCGCAGAUGAAUAAACAACUACUAUAACUUCUAAUGAGUUGAAAACAUUUUGCAUCAUAAUCAUAUCUUAAGACUUGGAUAUAUUUUUGUACAUUUAAUCUAGAAAUGAAACAUGACGUAUGCAUUUAUGUCAUUAUGUUAUUACAUCACUGUUGUAUA